rnacentral:tRNA from 1 species
GCCUAGGUGGCUCAGUGGGUUAAGCAUCUGACUCUUGGUUUCAUCUUAGGUUGUGAUCUCAGGGUUUGUGGGUUCAAGCCCUGCACUGGGCU